rnacentral:rRNA from 1 species
GAUGAACGCUGGCGGCGUGCCUAAUACAUGCAAGUCGAGCGAACAGACGAGGAGCUUGCUCCUCUGACGUUAGCGGCGGACGGGUGAGUAACACGUGGAUAACCUACCUAUAAGACUGGGAUAACUUCGGGAAACCGGAGCUAAUACCGUAUAAUAUAUUGAACCGCAUGGUUCAAUAGUGAAAGACGGUUUUGCUGUCACUUAUAGCUGGAUCCCCGCCGCAUUAGCUAGUUGGUAAGGUAACGGCUUACCACGGCAACGAUGCGUAGCCGACCUGAGAGGGUGAUAGGCCACACUGGAACUGAGACGCGGUCCAGACUCCUGCGGGAGGCAGCAGUAGGGAAUCUUCCGCAAUGGGCGAAAGCUUGACGGAGCAACGCCGCGUGAGUGGUGAAGGUCUUCGGAUCGUAAAACUCUGUUAUUAGGGAAGAACAAAUGUGGAAGUAACUAUGCACGUCUUGACGGUACCUAAUCAGAAAGCCACGGCUAACUACGUG